GGCCAGAGGCUCCGCUGGGGUCCGCCCGCCCCCACCCCACUCCACUCACUGCCGCCCCCACCGCCCCGGCCCGGCUCAGACCCCCGCUCCCUGAGCACAGGCCUCUGAUGUCAUUUCCUGACCUGCCCUCCCCCCGCGCCCGACCCGCGGGUGCCCGAGAUCUGACUCACCGUCCCCCUCCGGGCUUAGCCGGCGGAGGUAGCGCGGGUGCAGCAGAGGUAGCCACGCAGCCCCUGUGCGCCUCCAGCCCGGCCCAGCGACCUCCCCUCGGGCCUGCCGUUACCCGGUCCCCUCCCGCCACCACCCGCUACCCGACCACCUCCGAGUCCGCCUGGGGUGGCCGAACGUAUGGAGCUGGGCUCCAGGGUGCACGAGGAUGGGGGAUGAGGAGCGGGGCGUUCUCCCACCCAGCACCCCCCAGCUGACUCUGUGCCCGGAGGGGGAGACCCCGGGCGACGGUGGGGCUCUUGGGCAUUCUGAGACUGCGCUUGGUGGAGCCCCCUACUGGCCCGACCGGAUUUCUCAGCCUGCGACUCAGCCCCAGGCUACGCGAAAGAGGCCGGACCCGGGUAAUUCUUCUAGUUCUUCUUCUUCUUCUUUUUUUUUUUUUUUAAUUGCACUGGGAAACUUACCCAAUCUCGGCCCCAGUUCUUUCCCACUCACUAUCUGCAAACUAAGAGUCAUGGUCUUUCGCCCGCUAGUCCAAUAUGCAUCCCUAGGCGCGUCAUUUUAUCUCUUGUCAGCUUUUACUGCCUCCUGAGGCCUUCCUCUUGUUCACACUGAGUGUCCAGUCCUUCCAAAUCUGACUACACUCUACUGGCAAGGAACACCUGGGCCAUGUUUUAGAGAUCAUCUGAAGACUAACCCCAAAAGUUUAUGAAGAGAAAGCGGAGGCCAAGCUGGAGAUGGACCCGGGUCACACCCAGGUAGAGGCAGGAUCUAAACUCAAACUGGUGUCAAAUCUGGUUGCCUUGCACCCCUGAUACCAGGUGAAGCAACACUGGGCAGGAUCCAGCAGAGUGAAGUCAGAGUGUGAAGACCCAGCCUGAUGCCCAAACUGAUGCCUCUUCAUUCUCCCCCGCUCCGUCUGUAAAUAAUCCAUCUACUUUAUUGCAUUAUAUGGAGAAAUAAAUGAAAUGUCAUAGCUGUAUGCUCUAUAUGA
rnacentral:lncRNA from 1 species